UCCUUAGCUGUAAAUAAAGACAGGAGCGAAGGCAUCUAACCCUUUCCUCCUCCUCUAUCAGCUUGUCACGUUCAGUGGCGUGCUUCUUGUCAGGGUGGAUGUGAAAGGCCUGUUUCCCAGACUCACUUUCUUGGGUUUUUUUUUGUUUGUUUGUUUGUUUUAUGUGCAUGUGGAACUUUGCUGUCAGACACGGAGCCUUGUCGCUGACACUCAGGGCCCUCUGGUGUUUACUCCUACCUCCCUCCAGAAUGUUUUCUCAUCAGGAGAGGAAUAAAUUCAAAUCCUGUUGAAGAUUUUAUGGUAUAUUUCCAAUUAGUCACUGAAUCUCCCUGUGAGAAGAUUGUGUUUUCCCAAGCCAUUGACACCAAGUUUGGCAUGUGAUUGGUCAAGUGUGCUCUCAAAGGAAGUAACGUAUACCGUGCCUGAGCGAAGGUUUUACAGCCAUUCUCGUGGUUCUGCCAUUGUUCUUUCUGCCCCUUCACCCCUAGGUAGGAGCUGCUCCUUCUGCCUAGAUCUCGGAAUGGAGAAGACACAUGGAGCGCAGGCACGAUGGACAGCAGCUGACAGACUGAUGGUAGUAACUAGCUCUGGCUGGCUGCCUCUCCCCAACUUCCUGGAUGCUGGUAGUGCCCAGAUGUAGAAAGAUCUUUUAACUAAAGCUCAUAGACAGAAGGAUAAAAUCUGUCCCUGUUACUCAGUCCCAGUCAGAAGCAGAAGUCAGAACUUCGAGUUUGAAGUCACCUAAAUUUGGAUUACAUUGCCGACUUUGUUCCUUAAGGCUAGUGUGACCUGAGUCAAGUUAUGUAAACUGCCUGAACCUUGGUUUAGUUUCCAUUAAAUGGGGCAAACAAAGCCUUCCUCUAUAUGGUCCCGCAAGGGAAGAACGAGGAAACUCGUGGAGCACGUAGUACGUGCUGCAGGAAGAGAGCGUGAGCAGCCAGGACGUAUGGAGGAGAAAAGCCCCCGUGAGAGAUUGAGGGUGAAGAGAGUAAGAGACACGGAGCAGAGGCACCAGGGAGGGUAAAAGGGAUGGGGAAGAGGUGUGGGGGAGAAAAUGGCCAGGGUGGAGAAGUAAAUGGAGGAAAGAGACGGCAUACCAGAGAGGAGGGAAGGGGAAGGAAUUCUGCAGCCACACAAGGUUGUGUGGUUUGAGCUCUGCAAAGGGGUGC